rnacentral:rRNA from 1 species
GAAUAUUGGACAAUGGGCGAAAGCCUGAUCCAGCCAUGCCGCGUGUGUGAAGAAGGUCUUCGGUUUGUAAAGCACUUUCCGUUGGGAGGAAGGGCAGUAAGCGAAUACCUUGCUGUCUUGACGUUACCGACAGAAUAAGCACCGGCUAACUCUGUGCCAGCAGCCGUUGUAAUACAGAGGGUGCAAGCGUUAACCGGAAUUACUGGGCGUAAAGCGCGCGUAGGUUGUUCGUUAAGUUGGAUGUGAAAUCCCCGGGAGCAACCUGGGAACUGCAUCCAAAACUGGCGAGCUAGAGUAGGGCAGAGGGUGGUGGAAUUUCCUGUGUAGAGGUGAAAUGCGUAGAUAUAGGAAGGAACACCAGUGGCGAAGGCGACCACCUGGGCUCAUACUGACACUGAGGUGCGAAAGCGUGGGGAGCAAACAG